rnacentral:rRNA from 1 species
GACGAACGCUGGCGGCGCGCUUAACACAUGCAAGUCGAACGGAAAGGCCUGCUUUCCCUUGUGGAUUGCGGGUACUCGAGUGGCGAACGGGUGAGUAACACGUGAGUGAUCUGCCCCCAACUUGGGUAUAAGCCUGGGAAACUGGGUCUAAUUCCCGAUAGGACUGCAGGGUGGUGCCUGUGGUGGAAAACGAUUUUCUAGUGGUUGGGGAUGAGCUCGCGGCCUAUCAGCUUGUUGGUGGGGUAAUGGCCUACCAAGGCGGCGACGGGUAGCCGGCCUGAGAGGGGGGACGGCCACAUUGGGACUGGGAUACGGCCCAGACUCCUACGGGAGGCAGCAGUGGGGAAUAUUGCACAAUGGGCGGAAGCCUGAUGCAGCGACGCCGCGUGGGGGAUGACGGCCUUCGGGUUGUAAACUCCUUUCGACCGCGAGGAAGCCACCUGGUUGGAAGGGUGGUGACGGUAGUGGUAGAAGAAGCACCGGCUAACUACGUG